rnacentral:rRNA from 1 species
UACGGGGGGGGCAAGCGUUGUUCGGAAUUACUGGGCGUAAAGGGCUCGUAGGCGGCCAACUAAGUCGGACGUGAAAUCCCCAGGCUCAACCUGGGAACUGCGUCUGAUACUGGAUGGCUUGAAUCCGGGAGAGGGAUGCAGAAUUCCAGGUGUAGCGGUGAAAUGCGUAGAUAUCUGGAGGAAUACCGGUGGCGAAGGCGGCAUCCUGGACCGGCAUUGGCGCUGAGGAGCGAAAGCCAGGGGAGCAAACGGG